rnacentral:rRNA from 1 species
UGAUCAGCCAUUCCGCGUGAGUGAAGAAGGCCUUCGGGUUGUAAAGCUCUUUCGCAAGGGAAGAAAACUUACACAAUAACACUGUGUGAGGCUGACGGUACCUUGAUAAGAAGCACCGGCUAACUACGUGCCAGCAGCCGCGGUAAUACGUAGGGUGCGAGCGUUAAUCGGAAUUACUGGGCGUAAAGCGUGCGCAGGCGGUUUUGUAAGUCAGAUGUGAAAUCCCCGAGCUCAACUUGGGAACUGCGUUUGAAACUACAAGACUAGAAUAUGUCAGAGGGGGGUAGAAUUCCACGUGUAGCAGUGAAAUGCGUAGAGAUGUGGAGGAAUACCAAUGGCGAAGGCAGCCCCCUGGGAUAAUAUUGACGCUCAUGCACGAAAGCGUGGGGAGCAAACAGGAUUAGAUACCCUGGUAGUCCACGCCCUAAACGAUGUCUACUAGUUGUUGGUGGAGUAAAAUCCAUGAGUAACGCAGCUAACGCGUGAAGUAGACCGCCUGGGGAGUACGGUCGCAAGAUUAAAACUCAAAGGA